GAUGAACGCUGGCGGCGUGCCUAAUACAUGCAAGUCGAGCGAACAGAUGAGGAGCUUGCUCCUCUGACGUUAGCGGCGGACGGGUGAGUAACACGUGGAUAACCUACCUAUAAGACUGGGAUAACUUCGGGAAACCGGAGCUAAUACCGGAUAAUAUAUUGAACCGCAUGGUUCAAUAGUGAAAGACGGUUUUGCUGUCACUUAUAGAUGGAUCCGCGCCGCAUUAGCUAGUUGGUAAGGUAACGGCUUACCAAGGCAACGAUGCGUAGCCGACCUGAGAGGGUGAGCGGCCACACUGGAACUGAGACACGUGCCAGACUCCUACGGGAGGCAGCGGUGGGGAAUCUUCCGCAAUGGGCGAAAGCCUGACGGAGCAACGCCGCGUGAGUGAUGAAGGUCUUCGGAUCGUAAAACUCUGUUAUUAGGGAAGAACAAAUGUGUAAGUAACUAUGCACGUCUUGACGGUACCUAAUCAGAAAGCCACGGCUAACUACGUG
rnacentral:rRNA from 1 species